UACAGAGGUGGUAAGCGUUGUUCGGAAUUACUGGGCGUAAAGGGCGCGUAGGCGGUUCGGUAAGUCCUGUGUGAAAUCCCUCGGCUCAACUGAGGAACUGCACGGGAGACUGCCGGGCUUGAGUUCGGGAGAGGGAAGCGGAAUUCCGGGUGUAGCGGUGAAAUUACGUAGAUAUCUGGAGGAACACCGGUGGCGAAGGCGGCAUCCUGGACCAAUAUUGACGCUGAGGAGCGAAAGCCAGGGGAGCAAACGGG
rnacentral:rRNA from 1 species